UUCCUUUCCCCUCCCGGCUUUCCCAAGUAAAAACGCAUUUAAAAACCACAAGCGUCGUUUCCGAUCCCGCUCACCCCGGGCAGUGAAUUUUAAUGUCCUGUUCAAGAUUGCUGUGAAUUUCGUAUAGGGUGUUAACCCAUGUCAUCUGCAAUCAAAUCUUUUCUCCCGUUACGGAUAUUUCAUUCACUAUCACCGAUGAGGAAGCACCAGCAAAAUUAGCUGUUUUCCACUCUUACAGAAACUGCCUUUUCGCAUUGUUUUUUGUACACUGGUCUAGCAACCUAAGCCUCAACGAUGGAGCUAAAUAAAUUCAGGAUUGUGUUGCUGAAUUCUUCCAUAUACAGAAGUUUUGGAUCUGCCACUGACACAGACUAUAACAUAAAUACACUGUAUAGUGUAUAGAGCAGUGUUGGACUCACCUGAAGCCAUUGGUAAAAUGUUGGCCAGGGCGCAGGGUUACGCAAAGCCAUUCGAGCGUGAAAUCCCAGCAACUACGUGAUGCGCUUAAAACCUUUUGCGAAGGCAGCCUGCGGCGCUGCCAAGACCUGCCCAGCCCGAAGCACGCAGGCAGCCCGGCAUUCUCUGCAAAAUUGGGUGGAAGGAAAAGGUGAACAUAGUGGUUGGUGCCGGCCGGCCACAGAGAGCGAUCAAAUCUCUGACUGCUCUCUUCCUGAAGGGGCGGAGAGCAGGGAAGGGAAGAAAGGCAGGAGGAGUCGUGUCAGGUUCCUCCCCCCUCCCACUCCUUCCCUUGCCCGCAUGUCCGGGCACCGGGAAGCCCAGCGCUGUCCUCAGCAAAAGCGGAUGUGUUUUUUAGGUACCCCCCCCAAAAAAAAGGAACUAUGGAAUGAGUCUCCCAUACACCAGUCCUCGAGGGGGCGGGGAAGGAAUCGCUAUUCAAGGGUGCUAUUCAUUGACUCAGUUGGGUUAAAACAAACACUACACCUCAAGAAGGGGUGGGGAGCAGGGAAGGAGGGCUUGAAGGGCAAAAAUGAACGGGGGAGCCGUUAAGGCCACAGGUGCGCACACCCCCAGGACCCUCCAUCUUACUCCGUGUGCACUUGGACCUCAGCAGGGAGCAAGAGUGCCAGUGGGUUCCCACCAGCCAACAUCAGGCCUGGGGAUUUCCACUGCCUGGCUUUGGAGACCCGUCGCCGCCGGCGCUUUCCUGUUGGGGCUGCCAGAAG